rnacentral:rRNA from 1 species
UUUUGUGGGGUGCUCGAGUGGCGAACGGGUGAGUAACACGUGAGUAACCUACCCUUGACUUCGGGAUAACUUCAGGAAACUGGGGCUAAUACCGGAUAGGAGCUCCUGCUGCAUGGUGGGGGUUGGAAAGUUUCGGCGGUUGGGGAUGGACUCGCGGCUUAUCAGCUUGUUGGUGGGGUAGUGGCUUACCAAGGCUUUGACGGGUAGCCGGCCUGAGAGGGUGACCGGCCACAUUGGGACUGAGAUACGGCCCAG